UGAGGAAUAUUGGACAAUGGAGGCAACUCUGAUCCAGCCAUGCCGCGUGCAGGAAGACGGCCUUAUGGGUUGUAAACUGCUUUUAUACAGGAAGAAUAAGGGGUAUGUAUACUUCGAUGACGGUACUGUAUGAAUAAGCAUCGGCUAACUCCGUGCCAGCAGCCGCGGUAAUACGGAGGAUGCGAGCGUUAUCCGGAAUCAUUGGGUUUAAAGGGUCCGUAGGCGGGCAUAUAAGUCAGAGGUGAAAUAACUGGGCUCAACCGAGUGGUUGCCUUUGAAACUGUAUGUCUUGAAUGUUUGUGAAGUGGCCGGAAUGUGUAGUGUAGCGGUGAAAUGCAUAGAUAUUACACAGAACACCUAUUGCGAAGGCAAGUCACUAACAAAUGAUUGACGCUGAUGGACGAAAGCGUGGGGAGCGAACA
rnacentral:rRNA from 1 species